GCCUCCGUGGUGAAGUGGUUACCACGCUCGGCGUGUAUUCGAGAGGCCCGUGGUUCGAGUCCCGGCGAGGGCA
rnacentral:tRNA from 1 species